UCAAACUUGGUCAUUUAGAGGAAGUAAAAGUCGUAACAAGGUCUCCGUAGGUGAACCUGCGGAGGGAUCAUUACAGAGUUCGUGCCCUCACGGGUAGAUCUCCCACCCCCAUGUUAUUAUAUUCCUUGUUGCUUUGGCAGGCCGCUAGGCUUACGGCCAAGCUAUCGGCUUCGGCUGAUAAGCGCCUGCCAGAGGAUCUUAAACCCUGAAUAUUUAGUGUUGUCCGAGUACUAUACAAUAGUUAAAACUUUCAACAACGGAUCUCUUGGUUCUGGCAUCGAUGAAGAACGCAGC
rnacentral:misc_RNA from 1 species